rnacentral:piRNA from 1 species
UGGACCAGAGGCCUCCUUGCUGUAUG